UUGAUACUCCCUCCGUUCCGAAUUACUUUACACAUGUAUGGAUGUAUCUAGAUGUAUUUUAGUUCUAGAUACAUCUAUUUCUUCAACGAGUAAUUUGGAACGGAGAGAGUUCUUU
rnacentral:pre_miRNA from 1 species